GAUGAACGCUGGCGGCGUGCUUAACACAUGCAAGUCGAACGGAAAGGCUCCUGCUUGCAGGGGUACUCGAGUGGCGAACGGGUGAGUAACACGUGGGUGAUCUGCCCUGCACUUCGGGAUAAGCCUGGGAAACUCGGUCUAAUACCGGAUAGGACCACAUUUUGGAUGGUGUGGUGGAAAGUUUUUCGGUGUGGGAUGAGCUCGCGGCCUAUCAGCUUGUUGGUGGGGUAAUGGCCUACCAAGGCGUCGACGGGUAGCCGGCCUGAGAGGGUGUACGGCCACAUUGGGACUGAGAUACGGCCCAGACUCCUACGGGAGGCAGCAGUGGGGAAUAUUGCACAAUGGGCGCAAGCCUGAUGCAGCGACGCCGCGUGGGGGAUGACGGCCUUCGGGCUGUAAACUCCUUUCGCUAGGGACGAAGCGCAAGUGACGGUACCUGGAGAAGAAGCACCGGCUAACUACGUG
rnacentral:rRNA from 1 species